rnacentral:lncRNA from 1 species
CUAUUGGUCUAUGUAAUGCUGGUGCCAAACAAUAAGAAAAACCAACAAAACACUGACCUUGGUCCACAGACAACACCCACGUCCACGUGGUGGGUGGGACUGGCUCCGUCAGAGGAUGGGAAGAUGAGAAGUGCUUGUCGCAGGCCUGGAGAUGGGGACCACCCAGGCAUGCAGGGGAUGCUGCCUCUCCUCCAUCCAACAACAAGCCUGCGUGUGCCCAGCCCCCUCUGGUACACGCAUUGCUCCCCAUCCUCGGCAUUGAUCAAUUGAAAAUAAGACCUUGGAAGAACCCCUUGCAAAGCUGACAUUGUACGAGCCAAGGCAGUGAGCCUCACAGGGUCAGGGGGAAGACAGGGGAUCCCGAAGAUAACGUCUGCUACGAACUCAAUUGCAUCCGCCCCGGGCCCUAAGUUGAAGCCCUAAUCCCCACGUUGACUGCAUUUGGAGAAGGACCUUCAGCACAUGAUGGAGGUGGCCCCGGAGAGGGUCAGCGAGGGGCCUCCACUGUCUGAGUCCGCUCCUGGCAACGCCUGCUCUCUGCACUCAGAGGCCCGGUCCCGGCAGCUGCCACGUUGCUCAGAAGUUCUGGCAGGGGGAGCCUGAAACCCCUGUCUGCUGGCGACACUCCCGGAGCAGCAGGAAAUCUCUACAUUUUAUUUUUUUUCUUAACAGACAAAAGUAUUUGACUCCAGAAUGAUUUCCAGGAAUUACAGUAUGAGAACUUAGUCUUUGAGAUUUUUAUUUUCUUCUUAAAAAAAUAAAAAUGAAAUCAAAGCAGAAGACACUGGUUGAGCAGACAGCACACUAGCACAUUCCACUUCGCAACAAAACCUGCGUGUUUUCUGCCCGGUCUACCUCAGACAGGGAUGGUGGGCUUCAUAGCCUUUCCUGUGGAAGGAGUUCAGGGCGGGAGGGAAGUGCUGGGGUAGGAGGGGCAGGCAGAACCUGGAAACUGCGCCCCAUUCUUUCUUCUCGGAACUCCAUUGCCAGAGGGCUUGGAGUGCUUCUCGGCGAUUUGGCAUCUGCUUCUCCUCUGCCCCUCAUUCAGAGUUCUCAUUGCAAGAAAAGCAGG